AUUGAACGCUGGCGGAAUGCUUUACACAUGCAAGUCGAACGGCAGCACGGGGCAACCUGGUGGCGAGUGGCGAACGGGUGAGUAAUACAUCGGAACGUGCCCAGUCGUGGGGGAUAACGUAGCGAAAGCUACGCUAAUACCGCAUACGAUCUACGGAUGAAAGCGGGGGACGUCGCAAGAGCCUCGCGCGAUUGGAGCGGCCGAUGGCAGAUUAGGUAGUUGGUGGGGUAAAGGCUCACCAAGCCUGCGAUCUGUAGCUGGUCUGAGAGGACGACCAGCCACACUGGAACUGAGACACGGUCCAGACUCCUACGGGAGGCAGCAGUGGGGGAAUUUUGGACAAUGGGCGCAAGCCUGAUCCAGCCAUUCCGCGUGCAGGAUGAAGGCC
rnacentral:rRNA from 1 species